CUUGGGUCUCCAGAUUUACUGGGACAGCACUGCUGUGUUAUCUUUCCCUAGAUGUCCACUAGAAAUGUUCGGAAAAGACCUAUGUUACUCUCCAAGGCAUCUGGGUGUCAGACUAUGUUUCUUCUGAAUUGUACCGAAAGCAGCCAUGAAGCAAGAAAAAGCAGCUCCUACCCGUGCAAGUUAACAGAGUCUUUGCACAGUGAAGCAGAUCUUGCUCUGCCACCCAGGCUGGAGUACAGUGGCAUGCUCACAGCUCAGUGUAGCCUCAAACUCCUGGGCUCAAGCUAUCCUCCCUCUUCAGCCUUCAUAGUAGCCGGGACCACAGGUACGUGCCACCACGCCUGGCUAAUUUACAUCGUCGUUAUCUGUAGUCAUCAUGUUGUAUGAUAGCAUUCCCAUCUGAUGUUUUGUACCCUUUGACCAGCACGUCUCCAGUGCUUCAACCUCUUUAUCGCUUUUACUUCCUUUUUCUAGUGACGCCUGGGCCAGGUGAGUUUUCCUGUCUUCUUACCAAGAGGCCACUUCAGCUAUCGCUCAUUCUUCACUGCCCUUGCUUGCUGUUUAGCUCGUCUGUCUGCAUCCUGAGGUGGUCAUCCUCAUUAUAUGUUUAUCAUUUUGCAGAGGUGAUAGCAUUAGGUCCCAGUUGAGUGGUUAUACAGUGGUACUUCUUGCUUCUGCCUCCCAAGGUCACCCCCUAACUAUUUCACAUAGUUUUACAGCCAUUUAGAGCCACUCGUCUACUAGAGUUGACUUCUUUUUCAGGAAAUGCAGGUAAAACUCAAUGGAGAGGAACACAAAAUUCAGAGGGACCGCCAUGGGAACACCCCUGGUCUUUUUAUGUACCAUUUUCAGAUGCCUCAUAAUUUUUAUAUUUUCUUGACACAUAUAAAUUAUAAUUUUUAUAUGUAUUUAUUUUAUUGUAUUUUUUUUUUUUUUGAGAUGGAGUCUUGCUCUGUAGCCCAGGCUGAAGUGCAGUGGUGUGAUCUCAGCUCACUGUGACCUCUGUCUCCUGAAUUCAAGCAAUUCUCCUGCUUCGGCCUCUCAAGUAGCUGGGAUUAUAGGCACCCACUACCACGCUUGGGUAAUUUUGAUAUUUUUUUUAGUACAGAUGGGGUUUCACUAUGUUGACCAGGCUGGUCUUCAACACCUGACCUCAAGCUAUCUGCCUGCCUUGGCCUCCCAGAGUGCUGGGGUUACAGGCAUGAGCCACUGUGCCUGGCCACAAAUUAUAAUUUUAAUCAAAAUAGAUGUGGACUGACACAGACUAAGGAC
rnacentral:lncRNA from 1 species